GCCAUAUUUUUUAAAGCCACAAGAUUUUUACCAUAUAUAUUUUACUCCUAAAUAGUUUGGAACAUAUAACUUUUUCUGAACUACGAACUAUAUGUGCAGGCUAAUUUGAGAAUAAACACUGUCAGUUGUUUUUAAAAUACGAAUGCUGUUCUAUUUCGGCCAAUUCAUUUCUCAAACUCUGGUUCAUCCAGCAACGCUUCGGAUCUUUUCCAACGAUAAUUUUUCUUCCUGCCAAGCAACUGAAGCCAGUUUGGCGAGUGUCCACUUUUUGAGUCCAUGGGACUUCUAUUUCCACCCGCCAAAUUAUAACACAUAUAUGGACGGUACCAACAUCUACCAUCAAAUGACGUAACGUAAUUGGUUUCUAUGGCAACGAGGCAGCAAAUCACGAACAGUUUGAGAAACAUUUUUACCAAUCAACUAUAAGAUAAAUGAAGUAUAGAUAUCUAAUGUGCAAUCGUAUGUUUCAUGACCGAAUUUUAAGGAGGAAGGGUGCGCCUUACUGAAGUUAACACAUCUGUUCUUACUUAAUCUAUGACGUAGUGAUGUGAUUCCAAUUAACGCGCGCGCAUCCAAGACAAG